AAUGGGUCAGCGACUUAUAUUCUGUAGCAAGGUUAACCGAAUAGGGGAGCCGAAGGGAAACCGAGUCUUAACUGGGCGUUAAGUUGCAGGGUAUAGACCCGAAACCCGGUGAUCUAGCCAUGGGCAGGUUGAAGGUUGGGUAACACUAACUGGAGGACCGAACCGACUAAUGUUGAAAAAUUAGCGGAUGACUUGUGGCUGGGGGUGAAAGGCCAAUCAAACCGGGAGAUAGCUGGUUCUCCCCGAAAGCUAUUUAGGUAGCGCCUCGUGAAUUCAUCUCCGGGGGUAGAGCACUGUUUCGGCAAGGGGGUCAUCCCGACUUACCAACCCGAUGCAAACUGCGAAUACCGGAGAAUGUUAUCACGGGAGACACACGGCGGGUGCUAACGUCCGUCGUGAAGAGGGAAACAACCCAGACCGCCAGCUAAGGUCCCAAAGUCAUGGUUAAGUGGGAAACGAUGUGGGAAGGCCCAGACAGCCAGGAUGUUGGCUUAGAAGCAGCCAUCAUUUAAAGAAAGCGUAAUAGCUCACUGGUCGAGUCGGCCUGCGCGGAAGAUGUAACGGGGCUAAACCAUGCACCGAAGCUGCGGCAGCGACACUAUGUGUUGUUGGGUAGGGGAGCGUUCUGUAAGCCUGUGAAGGUGGCCUGUGAGGGUUGCUGGAGGUAUCAGAAGUGCGAAUGCUGACAUAAGUAACGAUAAAGCGGGUGAAAAGCCCGCUCGCCGGAAGACCAAGGGUUCCUGUCCA
rnacentral:rRNA from 1 species